rnacentral:rRNA from 1 species
CACGGGUGAGUAACACGUAUCCAACCUGCCGUCUACUCUUGGCCAGCCUUCUGAAAGGAAGAUUAAUCCAGGAUGGCAUCAUGAGUUCACAUGUCCGCAUGAUUAAAGGUAUUUCCGGUAGACGAUGGGGAUGCGUUCCAUUAGAUAGUAGGCGGGGUAACGGCCCACCUAGUCUUCGAUGGAUAGGGGUUCUGAGAGGAAGGUCCCCCACAUUGGAACUGAGACACGGUCCAA